CGUUUCUAAAAUAUUAGAAAAAGAUAAUGUUUUCCCUUUUCUAUUACGUUGAAAUUUAUAUAAUAUUCAUAGAACUUAGAAGUACACAACUGUCACAAGUGAAAUUACGGUUAACUAAAGCUGAAUAUUAGAAUUUUAACGAAGACUGACUUGGUCUAUUAUCUAUCACGCCAAUCCUGCUCAAAGUAAGAUGAGAAACGAUUAUCAUUCCAGUUUGCAAAAUUUAUCUGCGUGUAGUACUAGUAGACAUUAUUAUUUUAUUUUUAGAAAGUUUAAUAUGUUUCACGAAAAAAAAAUGCUAUUUGCAAAAAAAAAGAAAAAAGGCCUUGAAGGUUGAAUAUGAGAUUUUUUCCAUUCAAAUUUAAACAUAACAAAUCUGUAAGUAUUACUAUUAUUAGCGUUUUCCCGCUUUCACUGUUUCUUUAUCAUAUUUGCAGUUUUUGACUAGGUAUAAGUUGAAGUUGAAGUGAAGAAUGUUGGUGGUGACCAUAACCAUGAGAUUACAAAAGUACAUGUUAUAUUGAUUACUACAGCUUUUACUUUUACAACCGUAUUUAUUGACAAACAAGAUAUACUGAUAUUGUGUUAGGACUCUGUAGACUUGUUAUAAUAUAAAAUACUUUAAUGUAUAAAAAUAAUUUUGUCUUAAACUAACAACCGAACUUGCCAUUUCUUAUGAAAGAACUUGUCAAAGCAAUUCAUAAAAUGUUAAAAUAAAUAAAUUACAAUUACAGCAAAGAUUUUUACUGGUGUGGUUGUAUUCCACAUGAUUUGUUUACAACUAUGUCUAAAAUGGUAUAGUUUUUAUAGAUACAUAGCUUUUUCUCUCCUAAAGUUAUCAUUUAAAAAUAACAUUUUCAAAAAAAUCUAGGGGGGUGGGGUGAGUGCUGGAGAACUUCCUUACCUAUGGUAAGAAAACCCCUCAUUCAGCCAUAUGCUGAAACAAAUUAAUAUUUCACAGCAAACAGAUAAAAUAUAAUUGGAGAGUAACUAGUGUUUUGUCAAUGCAAGUGAGGGAUGGUUGAAAGUUAGUAAUCAUCAACUACCAAUGCCAUUUCAGGCUAUCAGGGAUGCUGUAUCAUUAUAGCAUUGAGAAAAUUAAAAACAAAUUACCUUAGUUUAUAUGCAGAGGAACUAUGUGAUAGGAGAUGGACCUUGAUAUGCUACUGGCAGAAUCAGACUGUUUCUAGAUGGUAUUUCAGCUCCAGUGCCGUAAAUGAAACAAGAUUGCAGUGUUAGAUUAUGAUCGGACUGGAGAAGAUCAUAUAGAGACAACUCCUCAGACAUUGCCUGAGAAUGAUCCAAAAAUCUUGGAUGAUGGGAAUGCAGAUAAUUAAGUAGAAAAAAAAUAUUACCAGCCAAAGAGGAUGACAAGACUGUAAUAGAUAGUGUAGAAAUUGUCCCCUCAGCUAUUGAAAUCUUAGAUGAGGAUACCAUUCAGAGAAGUUGCCAGAACAACAGUGGAAAUGAUCACCAACAUACUGACCAAUCAGGGACUUCUGUUUUUAAGGAAAGAGAGGAUAACCAAAAGGCCUUGAACUAAUAGCAAAUGGGAUUCUGAAAAGAGGACCAAGAUUGCAGAUGUGAAGAAAUGCCCCUUUGCUAAACUCCAUGCAUCUGAGAAACUAAAAGCAUUCUGUCCUGGCUAGUUGAUUAUUGUCUGGGAGUAGCACAAGAAGGAAGAAAAGAACUUACAGGGCCAAGCAGAGGCCAUGAUACAAAAGAUCCUUGAUGAAAAUGUGCACUUAUUUAUGAUAAAACAAUACUUGAUGAUUGCUACAUGGACGAAGGUGAAAAAGACCAUACUCAUCAAGCAAGACUUACACUCUUACACACAUGUGAAAUAUGCUACCAAGAUAUCUGCUCAAGGCUGUUCAUCUUUUCUGAUGUAUGUCUGGCAUGCUACCAUAUGGACUGUGUGACAGUAAAAAAAACCUCCCAAGAAAAGUGUUUCAUAAGAGUUGAUUGAAUUUGAUAGGAGACAUUAGAUUUUUGUUGACUGAUAAAGCCUUGGAAAGAGGUAUAGAAAGAUGUGUUUUGGCUGUAUUAUCUAUACUUUGCAAUUGAUGAAAAAUAUAUUCUGAAAGGUUCUUAAAUUUUGACUUAGUUUUGAAUGACAAUAACAAAUAAUCUGAGAGAGGCAUGUGUGUAUUAAAUUGUAAUUGUUGUCAGAAGGUUCUUUGUUUGACCUAGUAGUUAUACAUUUUUAGUACUAAAAUAAUUGGUUGCUUAGUCGUAAACUAACAUUACGUAUGAGUGUACAUGUUAAUCAAGUCUUGUGACAAAAUUUUUGCUUCAUAUUUCCCUGAUUAAGAAAACACUUGGUUGUCUUGAGUGACUAUAGCUGAUUUGUGAGAUUGCUCUGUUUUAAGGUGGCAGUAUGUAUACGUUUGAAUCAGUGUCCAAAACUUUCAUAAUUUAUUUGGAUUUGUUUAAUCCAAUAAAAAAAUUAAACAGUUUCUUAGGAUUUUAAGCAUUUUCCCUAAUUUAAAAAACUUGUCACCAAACAUGCAUUUUCUGUACACUUUUUCUAAAACUGUAGUUGUGUUUUCAUCUCAUGAAAGUAUCAUCUUUACUUCAACCUCUAGCUUUCUGGGAUUCCUGGCCUAUAUUUAAAUAUUACGGGAAGUCCCUUUGUUGUCUGAAAUGAAAAGGAUGUUUCUGGCACAUGUGAAUGGUGGAUUGAUCCAAACGAACGAAGUGUGAUGAAUAUUAACACCUUGGUGAAGAAUUAACUUAUCUUUUGGUUAGUAUUAAAACAGUAAUCUCAAGUCACAGUAUUUGUUUUUUUGUAUGAUUUUCUGGAUUAAUAUAAUAUUUAUCCACAUUCCAAGAGUGGUAUAAUUAAAAACUAUUAUUUGUAAUUAGAUGUUUGUUUAAUGUUAUAUGCAAAUACACAUUUACAAUUGUGUCUUUCUUUAAAAAAUUCACAUCUGCAAUUGAUAAAAUGGAAUUAAAGUAUAUUUACAUGCUCUCGGAGUGGACAAGAUAAACCUGAUAAAGACAGACCAGUUAGAAAUUUGUGGAUGGACCCUGAUAUGAAUGUGUUAAGAUAUUUGUAUGUCCACAGCUGUAAAUUGUUAGAUUUCAUAAAGCUAUUUUAAAUCUAGUAAAUUCUGUUAUUUGUUACUGAUAUCUAAUACAUAGUAUGCAUGUAUUACUAAAUUAAGCUAGUAACAUCAUCACGAGACAGGAUGUUGUCUCCCUUACUAGAUGACUUUCUAGUAAGUUACUUUACUUGACUGGAGAUUAGAAAAAAAAAAUUAAAUCUUUUUGCAUACAAAAAUUAAUCUUGGGCUGAAAUGAAAAAUUCUUUGUAAUUUUAAUUGGACUUUUUUUCAGUUUUUAGAAUAGUGGAAAUCAUUACUUCUCUUAUAAACUAGAAUAUUUUAUAUACCUAGAACCACCUCCAAAAUUUGGUACUAAUGAAUAUUUCCAUUCAUUCUGUCUGUAUACCAUUUCUCAAGAUUAAAAUUUCCUUCCAUUGUGCGGUUCACCCCAAACUAAUAUAUUUGCUUAAAUGAUUAUGUUUAUUCUAUGCAUUUUCUACCUUCUUAUUUUAAUAUAGUAUUAUUGUAAACUUAUCAGUUAUUUCUGAGUAUGUGCAAUUUUCACAUAAUGUGGUCAAGAAUGUCACUGAUUUUAUUAUAGCUGCCUUUUGUUCAUUGUUCUUGUAUGGAGGUCACACCUAUUCUGACCAUGAGGUGGUGUGGUUGUAAAGGUUCUGCAUCUUGUGCAUGAUUGUAAACAGUCCUUCAAUGCUAGGUCAGUUGGUGUCUUGAGUUUAUGGAAACUCCUCUUUGUUUAAAUGAAAAUGAAGAAUUAUAUGGGUAGCACUGGUUGUUCUGGGUAAAUCUGUUGUUACCUAUUGAGAAUUUGAAAUAAUCCAAGGCCGUGUUAAAUAAUUUAACUUUUAAUAGUUAAACUGUAC